ACAAUCUUCUCACAAAAAAUGUUUUUUUUUAAAUAUUUUUGAUGAGGUGUUGAACGAAAAUUUGUUUUUUUUUUAAAAUAUAAAUUUAGUUUGAAAUCGAUUGGUGAAAACAAAAGGAAGAUUGAAAUUAUUUUUCCAUGCCUUUGUUCAUUUUUUUUCUAUUGAACGUAAUAGGUUUUACCACUUUGUUUGAUAGAAAAAAAGAAAUUAGGAAAGAAAAAUAACUAAAAAGUUUUAAUCUCUUUUAUAUUUGAACCUUAACGAAAAAAAAAGUUAUUUUUUUUUCACAGUACCUUUUUU
rnacentral:misc_RNA from 1 species